GCUUUGAGAAAGCAGUGCUAUCUAAGUUUCUUUUUUAUAAGCCAGUGUUGUUCACAGCUGUGAGAAGGGGACUAAUCUGGUUCUGAAUCAAGUUAAUGCUGCAAGGACACAUUGAAAGCAUACCUCAAGAAAACAGAUGUUGAAAUCAAGAGCUGUCGACUGACCCCAGUGGUGCUGCAACCUCAGCAAAAUGGCACCCCAUUUCAAGGUAAAAAUAUGAAUUCUUAAAUCCUACAUAAAUGAUCUACGUGACAAGAAUAGAAUAUUUAUUCAAACAAUUGAAGAUUCUGAAAGAGAAGCCAAUGACAAUUUUUCAUUUGAAGGUUAGACUACUGGGAGCUGACCAGAUAAUUAAUGAAUGAGAAAAUCUUCCCUCCUGCAAGCAUUUUAAAAAAAUUUCUAGAGACCCGUAAUCAUUUUUGUUGUUAUGAAGAAGAUUUGAUCCUAGAGGAGUCCCCAAUGGAUUUGAAGCUGAUGAAUUAUGCCAAGCCUGUAAUGAUGUAGAAGAAAUCAAGCUUCGCAAGGCUGAGACUGCUGCCUUGGGGCAAUUUCAGAAAUUGGAUGAAAUCAUGAAGAUUUGUGCUAAACAGCUAAAAUUGCAGCUUCCAGCCAAGGAUAAUGUGGUUCACUGCAUUAAGGAUGAUCUUAAUAAAACCAUGUGUGGCAGACAUGUUAGUAGAUAAGGUUUUAUUCAUGUCUUGCUUCCCCACUUACUCCAUUGAGAUCAGUUGGUUUAGGUGAAGGGAAACUAACUUCACCAACUUCCUAUCCUGAUCCUUCUUUCCUGUUGAAAAGAGGAUGUUCCCUUAGGAUGGAAAGCAUAUGAUGAACCAGAGUUGAACUAUACAGACCAUUUCAGAAACAUCUAGACUGAGGGAAGUGGUAAGCUGCUGUCUUUAUACUUGCCUUGAUUGUCAAGGUAUUUUAGGUAUUUUUUUUAAACUUUGUUUCCUGGUAGUUGUGGCAAUAAGAGUUUAGAGUGUCUCCUGUAGGAUGGUGGUGGAGGAGAAAUAUAACAAAUACAAUUAGUGGUAAUUUUCCUAUCUUAAAAUUUUCUUCAUGCUGAAAGGCAAAUAAAUCUUUUCACACUGCCACAUCAACAAUGUUUAAGUAGGGGUAAAAAGCUUUCUACUUUGUGGGUGAGGCUGAUAUGGUUUUGACAGAUGUGAAUGCUUGGCAUACUCAUCUUUAAUUACCACAUAGAAUUCUUUCAUACUCUUCUUAAAACAAGACUCAGUAAAAAACAGUCUUUAAGAAAUAGUAAAACUUUGUUUUGGAUUAAGCUUACUGUAAAAGAUGAUUAAGUUGAUUUUGGCCAUUUUUAUACCAUAUGUCUGGUCUGUCUGAACAUAAUCAUUGCUAUUUAAUUUCAAUAAUUUUUCUCUAUUAUAGUUGGAUGAAAUCUUUUAAAAUUAACAUUUCUUAUCCCAGUGGAUCUGUGGAUUUGCUAUGAAUUGAAAGAACAUUUAAAUAUACCACUAACUUGUUGCCAACAUGCAUUUUUGUUAAUAUUCAUGUUAAGUAAGUUAAGCAUUAGCAUACUACAAAGUAUAUGACAUUGAGAGACCAACUUAAAUCUUGUUGCUACUUUUUAGUGUCUUUUCAUUUUGCUUCAAUUCGAAAGAAGUAAAAAACGAGGAGUAUCUGUUUGGUGUUCACUCUCUGAAUUCAAGAAAACUGGUUAAAUUGCCAUCAGAGACAUCCUUAUAAUGAACCUUCAUGCAGCUAUAGAAUUAGCAUAGAAACAUGCAGAAAUUGUAGUCUGAGGUAUUGUGAAUUCUUUAUAUUUGGUCUGUGUAAAAUCCUAAUCUAUUUACAUGAUACACAUGAAUGAGACAUGAAGAAAAAUCCAAGUCUGCUUCUCUUAACUUCGUGCAUCUGACUUUCCUGAUUGGCAAUGUUUGAGAGUGCUGUAAGGAAUUCUUCAUUCAACACUUGAGCUUGUAUUCUGACCUUGCUGGCAUUAAAUGUGUAAGAGAACAUUGUUGUCUUGGGAAGAUUCACGUGUUUAGCAGUCAGAUUCUUUGGAAGUCUUGUCUUUAUUUCAGCCAGAGAUUUUAGAGGUUUUCUAUUUAUUCAAUUAUCAUCAACCCAAUGAUGUCUUUCUAAAUUGACAUUUUAGUGUGCUUUUCUUGAUCAUGAUUGCAAGCUUAUUAGUUGAUGCAAAAUUAGUCUCUAGAGCGGGGGUGUCAUAACACAGUUCAGGGGCUGAAUUUAGCCUGUGGUGCUGCUUGCUCCAGCCCACUGGUCUACUGAGAAACGAAGAAAGUUGGCAGGGGUGGCCUACCACAGAAUUCAGAGCCCAUCAGUGGCAGGACACCAUCUCCCUGUACUCUGGGCUGAAUCAGCUGCUGAUACUGCAUGCCUUGAGCCAGAUCUGUCCCAGGGAAUGGAGUGAACUUGACCCCCUUGCUCUAGAGAACCAGUGAGUUGUCCACAUAGCACUUUGGAUUUAUAGUGAGAGUCUACAAUGAUAAAGCAUAGAGGGAGAGGAGAUGUAAACCAACAACAGAUUCUUUGGGACAUGAACAGAAAUCUUGAGGAAGGAUGGAGAAAGGGACAUGUUAAAGAAAGAGGUAGGUGGAGAACCAGGAUUGGAUGAGAUCAGAUGCUGGAAGUUCAAGUUGUCAUUCUUCCUGCAAUACAGAUAAUAAUGCCUAAAAUCCCCAAAUGUGAACUCAUCUCUGUUUUGCUAGAUACUAUACAAAUGAGACAAACAAGUGCUUAUCACGUUAAGCAUAAAGCAAAGGUUGGAGAGCUGGGAAUGAUUGCCCUGCGCCAUUCCUCAUGUGCAGUUCCUGGGACUCUGGCUGGCCCAGUCCUGGUCGGUGCUACCGCUUGCAACUCCCAGGACUCUGGCCAGAAGCCAUGGGGAGCUGCACACCAUCAGGCUGGUCUGGGCCAGCUCUGCCUCCAACUCCAUGGGGCACCUGGCACAGAGCUGGCCCAACCCAAUGGUGCACGGCUCCCCAUGUCUCCUGGCACUCAAGUGGGGAGCUGCGUGUAAUUGGCUUGGGUUGGGCCGGGUUGGGCCAGCUUCAUACUACCACAUGCAGCUCCCGGUACUGUAGCUGGGAUCCACACAACAUUGGGCCAAGUUGACUCUGUGCCUCCAUCUGCAGCUUCCUGCUAGAGUAGAGGCCCAGCCUGAUGGCGUGUGGCUUCCCACAACUUGCAGCACUCUAUUAGGGAGCCCCAUGCUAUUGGGCUGGGCUGACUUCAUGUCACCACAUGUGACUUCCGGCACUCCAGCCAGCAGCCACAGGAGCUGCAUGCCAUCAGGCUAAGUUGGGCCAAGCCAGCUAUGUGCUGCCACAUGCAACUUCUGGCAUUCCAGCCGGGAGUCGCCCACCAUUGGGCUAGGUCAGGCUGGCUCUGUGCUGCCGUGUGCAGCUCCUGGGACUUGGAUGGAGCCAUGUGCUGCCAGGCGGGCGGGGCUGUGCAUAGUGGGGGUAUGUGGAGGGGGCUACCAAGCACCCCCCACCAUACCCACACAUCUAUACCUGCCCCACCAAAACCUCACACCUACACUUACUUGAUAGUGGAUUAUAUGACAUUGAGCCAGAAUUUCUGUAUUCUGUCCCUAGGUUUAUGAGAAUUGCGAUUCCUAAAUGAAAGGAAGGAAGAUCAUUGUUAUUGUUCCAGAGAGAACUGGAAUGUCAUGAUGGCACUCUAGACUGCUCUCAUCUGCUUCAAUUCAUUUCUUAAGUUUCCUUUAAGGACUGUCACUCUCAAAUUUCAAAACUGUUUUAAAGUCUGUGUUAGUCCCAAAGGAAGUGUAUUGCAUCUCUCUUGGAUCUGGAUCCAUAUUUACUCACAUGUACCCUUUCCCCCAAAAUCAGUCCUCUAAAAUUGGGGUGCGUAUAUUAAGCAGGGAACCUUAUUUUUCUUUCCUGGAAUAGAAACAGGGAGAGACUGUGCUCUAAUGACUUGCAAAAUGGCUGCCCCUUUUUUAUGGCUUAACAAGCAGCAGUGGUAGAGUCUAGUGUUAACCCUCUCAGAGCCACUUUUGGCUGAGCACGUAGCAUAUGCCUGAUGCAUUAACUGGGUUGGUGUAAGGCAAGUGAGCUGCUGUAUGCACCUGUAGAAUCAUGAUGAGGGAUCUGAGUUUUCUGUUUCCCAUGGAAAAACAGAAAAAAAUGUGAAUUUUCCCUUUUAACAGAGAAAAACAAAUUUUUCAUUUUAACAGAGAUACCCGUGGAUUUUCCACUUUUGCAAAGAGCUCUUUGCAGGCUGGCAGAGUUCUAUCCUGCAAGAGCUUCUUGUAAAAAAGGUGGCAAGCCCUAAGCCCUGUCCCAAGGGGGUGGAGGAGGUGAAAGAGCUGGGGCCUAAGACUGUCAGCUAGGGCUUGGCUUAGACUCACUUUCUCUCCUGGUGCCUUUGAGGUAAGUGGGGCUUGCAGUGGCCUGGGGGCCAGCUGGGGGCCCCCUUUGGUGGG